rnacentral:lncRNA from 1 species
AUCGAUUCCAUUGCGAUGGAUAUGAAAGAGAAGAAGAUGACGGUGAUCGGUUCCGUCGAUCCCGUGAGCGUCGUGAGCAAAUUGAGAAAAUUCUGGCACACCAACUUAGUCUCAGUUGGACCUGCGAAGGAGGAGAAGAAGGAGGAGCCUAAGAAGGAGGAGCCUAAGAAGGAGGAACCCAAGAAGGAGGAAGCCAAGGAGGAGCCCAAGAAGGAGGAACCCAAGAAGGCGGAGGAGAAGAAAGAGGAACCCAAGAAAGAGGAGAAGAAGGAAGAAAAGGAAGAGAAGAAAGAGGAGCCCAAGAAGGAGGAGAAGAAGGAGCCCCACGACCAAAUGAUAGCGGACAUGGUGAGAGCAUACAAGGCCUACAACCCUCACAUGACCAC